rnacentral:ncRNA from 1 species
UAUGCUAUAAUAAUGGAGUUGCAAAGCAACCUUGGUGCUUAAGUUCCUUUCACCAAGCAUAUUAUACGCGCACUGAAGUAUCAACUUUAUGUGACGCCAAAGGAGAAAAUAAUG